GACUCAGCCGCAGACAUUAGUGCUAGGAAGAUGGCGCACCCGGCAAUGUUUCCUAGAAGGGGCAGCAGCAGUAGCAGCGGCAGCAGCUGCGUUACUGCUCCCACUGCACCAGGUACCGGCGUUGGGAGCGCUGCCCUCUCUGCCGAGGAUUAUCAGCCGCCUUUGCUGGUCCAGCCGCCGCCUCCAUCUCCUGCAGCAUCUUCAUCAGUGGGUCCACAGCCGACACCCCCUCCUCCACAAAGCCUGAACCUCCUCUCACAGUCUCAGCUCCAGCCGCAGCCUCUUGCACAGAGUGGAGCUCAAAUGAAAAAGAAAAGUGGCUUCCAAAUUACCAGUGUGACCCCUGCUCAAAUAUCAGCGAGUAUGAGCUCUAAUAACAGCAUAGCUGAGGAUACAGAAAGCUACGAUGACCUGGACGAGUCCCACACUGAAGACCUGUCGUCUUCAGAAAUCUUGGAUGUUUCUUUAUCUAGGGCCACUGACUUGGGAGAACCCGAGAGGAGCUCCUCUGAAGAGACUUUAAAUAACUUCCAAGAGGCAGAGACUCCUGGGGCUGUUUCUCCAAACCAGCCUCAUCUUCCUCAGCAGCAUGCUCCUCUGCCUCAUCACCCACAGCAGAGUGUUGUGAUCAAUGGAAGUGUUCACCCCCAUCAUGUUCACCACCACCACCAUCUUCACCACCACCACCAUGGACACCAUCAUCCAUCACAUCCUGGGGUGGGCAGUGCCCCAGUUUCUGGAGGACCACCACCCAGUCCAUCAUUUAGAAAACUGUCAACAACUGGAAGCUCUGACAAUGUUAUAUCAACUGCACCAGUUUCUGCUGCAUCAUCCACUGGUUCCCCGGCAUCUGUCGUCUCUAAUAUCCGCACUACAAGUACUCCUGGCAAUUUAGGUGUAAGUCCUGCUACUGGAACUAGUACCUUAAAUAAUAUGGGUGGUGGUAGUUCUAGUGUGGCAAGCAGUGUGCUUGGUACUAUAAAUUUAAGCAACAUCACAAGUACUGGUAAUGUAAAUGCUUUGUCUGGAACUAGCAGCAGUGUUAAUGUGAAUAUCUUGAGUGGUGUUGGCAAUGGUACGAGUGCUUCCUCUAGUGUCAUUAACAAUGUUACUAAUCCAACUGCAGGAAUGGCAGUGGGAUCAAGCCAGCAGCCGCCUGCAUCUGGCACAUCAAGGUUUAGGGUUGUAAAAUUAGAUUCUAGUUCUGAACCUUUCAAAAAAGGUAGAUGGACAUGCACUGAAUUCUAUGAUAAAGAAAACACUGUUGCAGUUUCAGAAGGAGUAGCAGUAAACAAAGCAGUAGAGACGAUAAAACAAAACCCGCUUGAAGUGACUUCUGAAAGGGAGAGCACCAGUGGGAGUUCUGUUAGCAGCAAUGUAAGCACACUGAGUCACUAUACAGAAAGUGUGGGAAGUGGAGAAAUGGGAGCACCUACUGUGGUACAGCAGCAAGCGUUUCAAGGUGUGGGUCCGCAGCAGAUGGAUUUUAGCAGCGCUGCUCCUCCAGCAAUUCCAGCAUCUAGUAUACCACAGAGUGUUUCUCAAUCACAGCUUGCACAAGUCCAGCUGCAUUCUCAAGAAGUAAACUAUCCACAGCAGAAGCCAGGGGUCCAACCUUCUGCACAGGCCAGUCUAACCACUGUUACUGGGGUUCAGCCAGCCCCAGUUAAUAUACUAGGUGUAUCCCCAUCUCUGGGCCACCAGCAACCUGCCAUUCAAAGUAUGGCUCAACAGCCGCUACCAUAUUCUCAGCCGGCGCAGCCUGUGCAGACUUUGCCAGUUGUGCAGCAACAGCAGUUGCAGUAUGGACAACAGCAACAGCAGCAGCAACAGACAGUUCCUACGCAGAUGGCUGCUGGUCAUGUUAAGCCGGUGAACCAAAACUCUGUUGCGGGGGCUAUGCCAGACUACAUUCAACAUCAGCAGAUCCUUCAGCCUCCAGCCCCUGCCAUGCAGCCUGGUUCUACUGGAGUAGGAGCAGGGCAGCCGGUUCCCGUUGCCCAGGCACAGGGCAUGCAGCCUUCAGUACAAGCACAUCCAGCCACUGCCCCAGCCCAGCCUGUUGCACAUGCUCCGGCAGCAAUACCAGGUGUAGGUACCAGUGGUCAAAUGCUGAAUGUUGGGCAGCAAGGAAGCGUAGCUGCUGUGGUGCAGCCACCGUCUGCUGCAAACCAAAUUCCACCUCCAGUUAUGCCGUCAACGGCUGCUCCUCCAUCUUCACAAGUAGUGCAGCCUGUGCAGACAGGAAUAAUGCAGCAGGGAGUACAGGCUGGUGCUUCAGGCCUUGCUCAGCAAAUGGUCAUUGCUCAGCAAAACACCUUGUUACCUGUACAGCCACAGGCACAAGGAGUGGAAUCUGUAGUCCAAGGGAUGACUGGCCAGCAGCUGCCUGCGGUUAGCCCUAUACCUUCUGUUCCUGCACCAAGUCAAGCUGGUUCAGCUGUGCCCCCUGGCAUACCUUCUGCUUCUAUAGGUUUGGGACAGCCACAGAAUAUAGCACAAGCUUCGGCUGUGCAGAAUGGGAAUUUGGCUCAAAGUGUUAGUCAGCCUCCCUUGAUAUCAACAAGUAUAGGUAUGCCAGUGGCACAGAGUGUGCCACAGCAGAUACCGCUAAGCUCUACCCAGUUCCCCACACAAUCACUAGCUCAGUCAAUUGUAAGCCAAGUUGAAGAUGGCAGACGCCCUACGGAACCUUCCCUGGUGGGUUUACCUCAAGCUGCCAGUGGCGAGAGUGGUGUUGGAGCAUCAGCUGUUUCAGAUGGCGGUAGCAGCAAUAUGCCAUCCUCUGCUUCCCUCUUUCCGCUGAAGGUGCUGCCGUUGACAACACCUCUUGUAGAUGGUGAGGAUGAGAGUCUUUCUGCCUCCCUAUCCUGGAAGUAUGGAGUCCCUGCCUCAGCCUACGGCUUCAUUCUUUUUCCAGCUGCCCACAAAGGUAAAGAACCAGUGUGAGUUUGAAGAAAGAAUCCGCUCAGAGGACUGAGUCUCAAGCAAAAGCUCCAGGUUGCAGACUCAGAAAGAAACAAAGAAACUUCCUUUGGGGAAGGAUCUGCUUCCAGGAUUUGCUCGCCUCUUUUUCCUUGGGCAAACAGAGUUCUUGAAGCAAACAACAGGGUUGCAGAGGAGCCUGUGGCUGCUGGGUUUAAGUCCUGUUUCUUUGUCCAUAUGAAGGGAGUAGACUGGAACAUCCUGAUUAAGGGGAUGUGCUGCUAACCCACAUGAUCAGCAAUCCCUCAGGCUCAGAGAAGGGGAAUCAGUAGAAUCAGCUCAGGUAAAUUCUGCCUUUCUCACUUCGUGCUGUGCAGAGCAACAGCCUCUUCCUUGCAAGCAUCGAUAGCCCACAGUCAGACCUUUCUUUUUCCAGCUGUGUCAUUGCUGGCACAGGAAGUUUAUUCUAAAUUUCCUUCUGACUUUUAGCAAAAGGAAUCACUUGAAAACUGGCAAUGAAAUUCUAAGGAGAUUUUACCAGUUCCUCUUUCAUGCUGAGUUGGUCAUUUGGAACUAUGUUACAUACAUUAUUACUUUUGGUGCAUCUUGUGACUCUUCUCUCCUUCUUCAUUCCCUCCAAAUUGCUUCAGGACACCUUCUAACCUUUAUACUGCAUCACAAGCCUUCAGCAGAAGAUCUUGAGAGCCAUUUAUGUUGCUGGAAGAUGACUGGGUUUGGAUCUUGGCCUUCCUUAAGCAGGAUCUCCUGACAAAAAUGGGAUUGGGAAAGAAAUGACUCCUUUUUCCAUCACACAGAGCUACCCUAGAAAUGGAGGCCUAGGCAGAAAAUUACUUCUAAUGCAUAAUUCUUAAGGAAAUUUGUUUGGUCUCCCACGGUCCUUUUGUUACAAUGUCAUAAAGAUGACUUUUAUAAAACCUAAACCUGGCAUCUUCCUAUCUGAAGAUCAAGUUAAAUCCAAAGUUUACAAGUUAAAAGUUUACAAGUCUCAUGUGAUCAGAUCUUGCUGUCCCCUGCAUAGGAGAUGCCACAUGAAGCUGUGAAACAGGGUUCUGCUGUGGUUCAGACUGUUACAUUUGUGAAGAUUUGUCCACUUAUAGUCCAUUUAAAUGAUUAGCAAUAAUACUAAUGAAGCUUCUUGUGCAAAUGGUAUUUAAUUAGGCUUCUACCUCUCCAAGUUUACUUAAAAAUAAAUUUGAGCCAGAAAUGUCACAAUGGGCAAUAUGAUGGGAAGUACAGCAUUUUUUCAGGUUUCCUGUGGUUUUCUGUUGAAAAGGUACAUUGGAAGUGAAAAAACUUAGUUUUUUGAUAUUUUUUUUAAGAGUGAAAUGUUACUUGUUAGAAAGCAGAAAGCUUUUAAUUGUUUUCCCCCUAAGGGAUUCUAUAGUCAAACUUAAUUAAAUGUCUUGUGAGAUCUCAAAUAAAAACCUUAUGUUUGGCAGUAGUAGUAAACAACACACACAUAUCUGUGUACUUUUGUUCUUUUUGUUAUAGGAAAUCAGUUUUGAAGAAUAGGGCUGACUUUUAAUGUUCAGGUUAGGAACGGGGAAAGCUUUGUUCUGAAGCUGACCAAGAAGGGGUGGCAGGAGGGUGAACCGGACCCUCUGGCAGUAGGUAGAGAGCACUUUUCCUGUUUUCUGCUUCUGGCAGUUGGAGUAAACUAAUCAGAUGCUUGUGCUUGAAUCCAAUUAAUGUCUUAAAUCAGUUACCACAAAACAUUGUUUUUUAACUAAUGCCUAGAUCUUUCAUUAAGUUCACCUGCAUAUUUAAAUUGUUGAACAGUCUUAACUUAGCCCUCAGGCUACUGCUUCAUGGCAGUUGGGCCUUCUUUACUAUGCUGGAAUGCAUUGUAGUCUUAGUACAUUCUAAAAAUAAUUGUUCAGAUGGUGCUGUUCAAGUACAUACUUAUGUAGUGAGCCAUUUUCACUGGACUUUCUGAAAUCUGGCUCUGCUGGAUGGCUUUUUAAUAUCUUUUUUUGCUGUGAGUAUCAAAACUACUUUGUCUUGCUGCUUCUGUGGUUGAGUAAAAUGCUAAAUUUAUAACCUGGUAUUUCUAGAAAACUGAUAGUUGGAUGUGUGUGUUAAACUAUGCAACAACAGUAACACUUGUGAACUUUGAAGUUUAAAGAGAAAUCAAUUUAAUUCGAUUUAAUGUAACAAAUACUUUUUUAAUAUGUGGAAAUGUGUAUGUGAUGACCUUAAAAUUGAGUGGUUGUUAUAAGUAUAGGCAUGAAUUGUGUGCUGAACAGGAGUCAUCUAGAAGUUAAAAGCUGAAGAUCUGUGAGUCUCAGAAAGAAAUACUAACAUCUGUGGCUAGAGAUCUGUGCCAGCAGUGCUUUUAGUUGAAAAUGCCUGUUUUUCUGACUUGUAGUCCUUUUAAAGUUUGAUACCUUUUGUACCUUCCUUAAUAGGUAUACUUGCCUUAGCCAUAGUUUUUGGUCAUUUUGUUCUGUAGUAUGUUAAAUUUAAAACUAUCAAAUACUUACGAAUGCUAAAUGCUUAUAAUAAAACAACAGGGGCACUGAGAACUGUUUCUAAUGUUAUUGUCUCAGUUGCUAAAAUUAGUUCACUCCCCUGUCCCCCCAUAUUUAUGAUUGGAGAAAAAAAAAACCCAACUACCCAAAACACAAACCAAAAUAUUUGUUGCUAUUCUGCAGUCAGAUACUCCUUGUCUUAUCAGCAUUGUGUUAGCAUAUUACUAUCAUGCUCUGAGUUUUGCAACUUGGAAUCCUGGGUUCUUGAUAUAUCUUUAGAGGAAUAACUCCUGCCUUUGUGUUAUUAAAUAAUAAAGAUGUCUAAAACCAUUUUCUUCUUG